AGACCCCGACCCUCGCCGAGGUAAAGGGGAGCACCAUUGGGACUCACCGUGCGGAGGCUCGGGCGAGGGUGUAGGGGAGGCAGGAGCCCUCGAAGACCCCAGACCGGAUUGGACAGGAGACCCAUUUUUGGACGUGCACCCGCCAAGGAAAAUCACUGAACCAAUACCAUCAAAGUCGUGGCAGGCGGACUUGGCGGGAGCAGACUGGGAGCGGGAGUCACUCCAGAGCACGUAAGGGGGGGGCAGGACCCCACGCCGACCCACGGGUGCUUGAUUCGCGCCCUUACAGGUGGACCCGUGGACAGAGGGGAAACCAGUUGGGAGGCAGCAGCUUAUCAGGAUUGUCCCUGAAGUCGUCCUCCCACUGCGCUGAGGACCCCCGAGCCCUCAGCAGGGACGAUCAACUGGAUAACAUCGUGUGAGGAAUUACUUGAAGAGUGCGCUUAUAUUAGUGGUAGUUUGUAAACUUUUUUACUGCACACUAUGUUGGAUGAAAUUACUUAAUAAAGAUGGUUGUAU
rnacentral:lncRNA from 1 species